GGGAGCUCCUGUGGCAGGUGUUCAGACACGUAGAGGCAUCUUAGACAGCCUAUGAUCCCCGGAGGCCUGGAGUUCCAGAUAACAUAAGAACUGAAUCAGGGCCAGCCUGUUCUGAUGGGGAAACAUGAAAUGACUAAGCAGGACAAAACCACUACCUGGGAGCAGCAAGCAGUGAUCAGAAGGCCAUCAGAGUUUGCAAGGUACUUUCCUCACAAUUCUGUGAGACAGGUGUUGUGGGUAGCAUGAGUAGCACUACCUCAAGAGACAAGAGCAAACCUGGAAGCCAAGACAUGGAGGAAACAACAUGAAGCCGCCACAUAUUCCAAAUGGGAGUAAAGUUGGAGGAAGGCUCCCCACGUAGGAAUCAGACCACUGGGAAGGGGAGCAUGGUCAAGAACCCCACCAGUUCCAUAGAUUUGCCUCGAGCCAAGCCUGGCUACUGAAGUUUCGUUUCAUGACACAGGCACCA